rnacentral:rRNA from 1 species
GACAGAGGGUGCAAACGUUGUUCGGAAUUACUGGGCGUAAAGCGCGCGUAGGCGGCCCUGUAAGUCCGUUGUGAAAGUCAAAGGCUCAACCUUUGAAAGCCGAUGGAUACUGCAGGGCUAGAGUCCGGAAGAGGCGAGUGGAAUUCCUGGUGUAGCGGUGGAAUGCGCAGAUAUCAGGAGGAACACCAAUAGCGAAGGCAGCUCGCUGGGACGGUACUGACGCUAAGGCGCGAAAGCGUGGGGAGCGAACAGG